CACGUGUCCUUGGAGGGGGCUGCUUGCCCGCCUCUUGCCUUUGGACCAUGGACCAGACUUUGUGUGAAUGUGUUAACCCAGAUAGCUAUGCCAUGGAGCCCAUUCGUGUAGUUAAAGACUUCGGCUCCAUGGCAAUUGAACUGUGUGAAUAGGAUCUGAGCGCCAUUCGGUAGUUUUGUGCGCUCAGAUCCCAGCUAUCUGGGGAUAUGUGAAAUGUCUGUGUGUUAUGUGUAAAAGGUGACUUUAUGUAUUUUAAAGUGUUUUAUGUCUUUUUGCAACCAUGUGCUUAAUGGAGUCUUGUGUCUGUCCUGGGAGAUAAUUGAAUUAUCUC